rnacentral:pre_miRNA from 1 species
AGAGGUGCGUGUGCCUUUUCUGCACACUCUGUAUACACGCGUGCAAACGGUCAGUAGAGGCACGUGUGCCUUU